CCUACGGGUGGCAGCAGUGAGGAAUAUUGGUCAAUGGGCGCGAGCCUGAACCAGCCAAGUCGCGUGAGGGAAGACGGCCCUAUGGGUUGUAAACCUCUUUUGCCGGGGAGCAACGGGCGCCACGUGUGGCGCCACUGAGAGUACCCGGAGAAAACGCAUCGGCUAACUCCGUGCCAGCAGGCGCGGUAAUACGGAGGAUGCGAGCGUUAUCCGGAUUUAUUGGGUUAAAGGGGUGCUUAGGCGGAGUGUUAAGUCAGUGGUCAAAUUGAGGGGCUCAACCCCUGCCCGCCAUUGAAACUGGCGCUCUUGAGUGGAAGAGAAGUAUGCGGAAUGCGUGGUGUAGCGGUGAAAUGCAUAGAUAUCACGCAGAACCCCGAUUGCGAAGGCAGCAUGCCGGCUUCCUACUGACGCUGAAGCACGAAAGCGUGGGGAUCGAACAGGAUUAGAUACCCGAGUAGUC
rnacentral:rRNA from 1 species